AGAGCAAAACUUCUAAGAAAAAAAGAGGGCAAAUCGGCCAAGGAGGGAGUAAAAUUUCUCCUUCAAAUUUCAUCCCAAAAAUUAUAAUUUCUUGGUAUUUCCACUAAAUCAAGGGUCCUCUAUAACAUGGUAAAUUUAUUUUGGAAGAUAGAAGGCUUGUUUGGUUGAUUUGGGGCUUUGAUUAAGUGAAGAAGUUAGAAGGAAAAAAUUUUGGAGGAAACGGGAAUUGAACUUGGACAACCGUAAAAGGCCAAAAAGAGAUAUUCCCUACUCUGGUGUUAUGCUGUGUCGUGGUGCCGAUGAUGGGAGGGCAACCACACUUUGUUCACCGAGUCCAUAAUGGGGUCGGAUAUGGCAUAUGUCUGUGCAUAUAUGGUUUGAGAUUUUGAUAAGCAUUUUGAAAUUCUGAACGUUGAUUUCAUGUUUUGCAUAUAUUAUUCAGAUUAUGAUUUUAUAUAUUACAGUGCAUGCUUUACAUAUUUGGUACAUUUUUCGUACUGACCCCCUUUCUUCGGGGGGCUGCGUUACAUGCCCGCACGUACCGAAGUUCGAUUUGCUGAUCCAUCUGUUUAGGAUAUUUAUUGCGUCGUUGACAGUGCUCCCUUGUUCGGAGCUUGUAUUUUGGUACUGUCUUUAUCUCUGUAUAUUUGGAUAUUUUGGUCAGGGGUACGACGGGACCCUAUCCCGUCAUAUGACUAUGCUAUCAUCUGUAGAGGUCUGUAGACAGAGUUAUGUUGUGGGUUUUGUAUAUAUGGUUUGGGUUUUGUGUGUUUUGUGACGGCCUAUCAGCCCUCGUG